rnacentral:rRNA from 1 species
GCUUACACAUGCAAGUCGAGCGAUGAAGUUUCUUCGGAAAUGGAUUAGCGGCGAACGGGUGAGGAACACGUGAAGAAUCUGCCCUCCACUUUGGGAUAACACCGGGAAACCGGUGCUAAUACUGAAUAUUGAAACAUAAGUGGCAUCACUGAGUUUUGAAAGAAUUUUGGUGGAGGAUGACUUCGCGGCCUAUCAGCUAGUUGGUGAGGUAAUGGCUCACCAAGGCAACGACGGGUGGCCGGCCUGAGAGGGCGACCGGCCACACUGGGACUGAGACACGGCCCAGACUCCUACAGGAGGCAGCAGUGGGGAAUAUUGGGCAAUGGAGGCAACUCUGACCCAGCGACGCCGCGUGCGGGAUGAAGGCCUUCGGGUUGUAAACCGCUUUCAGUAGGGAAGAAGCGAAAGUGACGGUACCUACAAAAGAAGCACCGGCUAACUAUGUGCCUGCAGCCGCGGUAAUACAUAGGGUGCAAGCGUUGUCCGGAAUUAUUGGGCGUAAAGAGCUCGUAGGUCGUUUGUUACGUCGGAUGUGAAAACCUGAGGCUCAACCUCAGGCCUGCAUUCGAUACGGGCAAACUAGGGUUUGGUAGGGGAGACUGGAAUUCCUGGUGUAGCGGUGGAAUGCGCAGAUAUCAGGAGGAACACCAAUGGCGAAGGCAGGUCACUGGGCCAAUACUGACACUGAGGAGCGAAAGUCUGGGGAGCGAACAGGAUUAGAUACCCUGGUAGUCCAGA